ensembl:lncRNA
AUUGACUUUUUGAUUUUGAAGUCUUGACUAUUAAAGUCUUUUUGUUUUUGAAAACUCUGGGUCCUGACUCCCCCGCUUCCGGACAUGGGCGACUUGAGGUUGAAUUGUCCCGCUGUUGUCGGCCAUUCAGAGAUUCCCUCGCCUCGUCUGUCUCGCUGGCGCGUCGGGUUGUUGCGCCGGAGAGGAGCGGCCGCCGCGUCGCGCUUUGACGUGAUGGAAUGCGGGGAGGCUGCAUCGUUCUUACCCAAGUCGGACCCGGGGACGUCACGCAAUGCGGCUUUUGACGAGCCUGGGGCCCCGAUGAAGCAUCCAUCGAGCUCACCGGGGACACGUUCAAAGAUGAGAGGGCUCCGUCAGUGAAGGAGUACAACGUGAUCGAAGAACGAGGCUUCAUGCUGCGCAACCUGCUGCUCCGCCUGGUUGAUUUAUGCUCAUCCUCGGCACCCCGGUGGACGAGAAGAACUGUCGGCAUGCGCAGUCAAGGCCUCAUACCUGAUGGUGUGUGCUGAAUGUGCUGAAGGGACACAACGUCUAACAGCUCAACAGCUCUGAGCAGCUGUGCAUCAACUUCCACCACAUGUUCAUCGUGGAGCAGAAGUACCAGAGGAAGGACAGCGAAUGGACUGUCAUCGACUUCGGGCUGGACUCUCAAGCCUACAUUUAUCUCCUUGUAAAGUUUCCCAGCACAAGAUCGGCGGCGAGGAGGAGAAGACGGCAGCCGCUCUCCAGGCCGCGUCCCAGCUUCACGAGGAAAACCUGAGCGAGCUGAUGACCGACCUACGCAGCUCCCGGCCUCACUCUGUUCGCUGCGUCAUCAGUGAUGAGAUCCGCGUGGCGAAUCCAAGUGCUAUCGCGUCCUGAUGGUUUUUGGACAGCAGGAAAGCUGUGCAGAAGCUGCUGUCCUCGUGGGGACCGACCACAGCCAGCAUGAGUCUGGACUCACAAAAAGUGAGGCUCUGAUGAUUAACGCCGUCGAGCCGACGCGCCCUGGAUGAAGCGCUUUCAGGAGCAGGACUCCGCAUCUUGCGGAUGCUGAGGAUCGCUGUAAGCUACUCAUCCAAACGAAGGUUGCCACGGAGGCCAAGGGGAAAGAGAUCGUGGCUAGAAGGACGAGGAGACGAUGACCAAGAAGCUAAAGCUGGAGGACAACGGUGCUGAGCUGAAGAGACAUUGAUGAUGUGGAGAUCACACUGGAUAAACGUGCCACUGAGAACAAGGUAUGGAAAUUGGAAGUGGAACAAGUUGCCUUUAGAGGGCGCUAGGAAUCCACAAAACUCACAGAUCUGAAACUCUGGUUAUGGACUUGAUAAGAAGCUGAAAAAGUGAGCUUUGAUAUGUUCACAACAAUUAUAAUCUUGCUACUAAGUAGUAGCGAUUAACAGGAAGGACUGAAAUGAAUGCAAUCCGCUCCAGAAUAGGAGAUGAGCUAGCCAAGCUAAGUGGAGAAGCAGCGAUGCGAUGUGGCACGUGAGCUAGAAGCACUGAGCCCACUUUGGCUCAGACAAGAGAGAAGCAGAUCUACUGAAGCUGCUGCGAGACCAGCAGGAAACAGGUCCACCACGAGGCCGCUACGGCUACACGCUUGACAGUGUCAGAGCGACAUCAAGCGAGGUCAACUGUUGGUUGAUGAUCAGACCUCCAGGCAAGACCACUUCAGAGAAGAUGUCCAUCCUCCUGAUUGGUCUCCUAAGGCCAAAAAAGUCCUGGCACACACACUGCAAUCACCUCGAUAUAAAUGUCGUCUCCUGAAGGAGCAGGAAGCCUCAGCUGAGAUGGAGAGACGUUCCACGCCAACGCUCCUCAGUGGAGGACUAAGUAUGAAACUGAUGCCAUCCAGAGAAUUUAGGCCCUCUAUGAAGCCAAGGUGGAUGAGACGAGCUGAAGGUGCAGGUGCCAACGACCGAGUGGCGCACCAAUCUAUCAGACUGCUGAGGGGGAGGAGCGAAGCGCUCUGCUGAGGCAGAACGACCGUGCGUGCAAGCGAGCUGAGCUGCUUGAGGCCACAGACUCAACCUGUUGCUCUCAGGCAGUGAUGAUGGCAAAGGAGCUGAAGAAGGAGCAGGACACUAGUGCCCAUCUGGAGAGGAUGAUGAAGAAGAAGAACAAAGGUAAGGCCGAUGAGUGGACAAAGCGGAGCAGAUCGCCCUCAAGGGCGGCAGAAAGAAGGUCCAGAAGUUGGAGUUGAAUGAAUUGUUUAUAAUCUCUGUCAUGCAUGAAUAUUCCUCGUAUUAGUUUGUAACUUGAAAUGGCUUCUUCAGUUUUCUGGUCUGAAAGGUAAAAACUGGAGUAUGAGGAGAAUCAGGGAGCUCUCCUACCAGGUACAGCAGCAGGGUGGUCGCAUAGAAAUACAUGCUGUAGUGUCACAUAACAUGUCUUUAUAUGAGAUGCCCUUAUGCUCUCUAAAAGGUUAGGAACCAGUCCGCCUUCAGCUCAUGGACAAGCUGCAGACCAGGUUGAAGAGUUACAGGCUGAAGCAUCAGAGGAGCAGGCAAACACCAACCUCCAAAACCAGCAUGAUGAUGCACAGGGGGGCUCAUACGGCCGAAUCACAGGUCAACGACAUCCAGAUCCACACCCGGGACCGGGAAGAAGAGUAAACUGAAUGCAUGUCAUACUACAGUAUGCCGCCAAAUUGUGUGACCUUUUUAGAAGUAUUUGUUCAACGUAGCCAGCGGGCUGCAUAACGAGAACUAAUCUCAGGCGAGACCGGACGUAAUCCUCCGUUGAGGAUGAACUCCCAUCAUGUGAUCUCUAGCGCAGCCGGGAGUAACUGGGCGACACUGUGUAUGCGGUUGCUAAUAAACAGCCCUGUCUUGUGUAUUUCAGCAUGCUGAGUGACGGGAGGCGGAGAGCUACGGACAAACAUGUCACAGCAAGCCAGCUGCAACAGCUGUGCUCCACUGUGACAACACGGCCCAAAUAAAGACUUCAGAAAUGUACCUUACUGGGCGUUUUCUUUUACCAGUGUGCG